CUAUGCCUACGGGACGCAGCAGUAGGGAAUCUUCCACAAUGGGCGAAAGCCUGAUGGAGCAACGCCGCGUGGGUGAAGAAGGUCUUCGGAUUGUAAACCCCUGUCAUGUGGGAGCAAAUUAAAAAGAUAGUACCGCAAGAGGAAGAGACGGCUAACUACGUGCCAGCAGCCGCGGUAAUACGUAGGUGGCGAGCGUUAUCCGGAAUGAUUGGGCGUAAAGGGUGCGUAGGCGGCCUGCUAAGUCUGGAGUGAAAGGUACCGGCUCAACCGGUACAGGCUCUGGAAACUGGCGGUCUAGAGAGCAG
rnacentral:rRNA from 1 species